GCGGACGGGUGCGUAACGCGUAGACAACCUGCCUUCAGGCGUGGGAUAACCUCGGGAAACCGUGGCUAAUACCGCACGACGUCCAGCCCCCGCAUGGGGGCUGGAUGAAACCCCGACAGCCGUCGGGGGCCUGAAGAUGGGUCUGCGUCGGAUUAGCUCGUUGGUGAGGUAGCGGCUCACCAAGGUGACGAUCCGUAGCUGGUCUGAGAGGACGAUCAGUCACACUGGGACUGAGACACGGCCCAGACUCCUACGGGAGGCAGCAGUGGGGAAUCUUGCACAAUGGGGGCAACCCUGAUGCAGCCAUGCCGCGUGGAGGAAGACACCCCUAUGGGGCGUAAACUCCUUUUCUGGGGGAAGAAACCCCUGUUUUUCAGGGCGUGACGGUACCCCAGGAAUAAGCACCGGCUAACUCCGUGCCAGCAGCCGCGGUAAUACGGAGGGUGCAAGCGUUGUCCAGAAUCACUGGGCGUAAAGGGUGCGCAGGCGGAGCAGCAAGUCGGGGGUGAAAUCCUGCGGCUUAACCGCAGAAGUGCCCUCGAAAC
rnacentral:rRNA from 1 species